AGCGAACGCUGGCGGCAUGCCUAACACAUGCAAGUCGAACGGCAGCAUAGUAAGAGCUUGCUCUUACGGGCGGCGAGUGGCGGACGGGUGAGGUAUACACCGGAAUCUACCCUUUCGUGGGGGAUAAUGCAGGGAAAUUUACGCUAAUAAAGGAUAUGACCUACGGGUGUAAGCAGGCGUUCUUUGGACUUUUUGCGAGUGUAUGAGCCGACGUCGGAUUAGCUAGUUGGCGGGGUUAAGGCACACCAAGGCGACGAUCCGUAGGUGGUCUGAGAGGGUGAUCAGCCACACUGGAACUGAGACACGGUCCAGACUCCUACAGGGGGAAGCAGUGGGGAAUAUUGGGCAAUGGAGGAGAGCCUGAUCCAGCAAUACCGCGUAAGUGAAGAAGGCCUUCGGGUUGUAGAGCGCUUUUGUUGGGAGAGAAGAACAGCAGGUUAAUACCCCGCUGUUCUGACGGUACCCGAAGAAUAAGCUCCGGCUAACUUCGUG
rnacentral:rRNA from 1 species